rnacentral:lncRNA from 1 species
UUGGUGGUUAGCCUUGACAUAUGAGAGGCUUAACCUUCUUUGAUUCAAAUCAAAUUCAUCUUGAUCAAAGAUCAAGUGAAUUGCUUUGCAUUAGAGAUAGGUUGCUUUUUGGUCAAGCAAAAAACCUAAAUUCAUACAAGAUCAUUCUUCUUUUUCUUUUGGCAUGGCAAGUUGUAGGAGCUUGGCUUACUAGUCAUGGUCUCUAAUUUGUG